CUAGCUGUAAACGAUGGAUACUAGGCGUUGAGAGUAUCGACCCUCUCAGUGUCGUAGCUAACGCGUUAAGUAUCCCGCCUGGGGAGUACGCGCGCAAGCGUGAAACUCAAAGGAAUUGACGGGGGCCCGCACAAGCGGUGGAGUAUGUGGUUUAAUUCGAUGCAACGCGAAGAACCUUACCAGGGCUUGACAUGUCCGGAACCCUGCCCAAAGGCGGGGGUGCCUACGGGAAUCGGAACACAGGUGGUGC
rnacentral:rRNA from 1 species